AAGUUCUAAGGGAUCGCCGUCCAUGUUUCUCUUUCUUUUUGAAUAAUUUUGCGGUUGAUGGGGUCAUUUGAGUUUAUGUUAAGGGCCCAUAGCUCAGGCGGUUAGAGUGCACCCCUGAUAAGGGUGAGGUCGGUAGUUCGAAUCUACCUGGGCCCACCAUUCAAUCAGGCAAGGGGCCGUAGCUCAGCUGGGAGAGCGCCUGCUUUGCAAGCAGGAUGUCAGCGGUUCGAUCCCGCUCGGCUCCACCAAUUGCGAAUUUAUAGUUUUUUUGUUCUAGGGAUUUUUUUUUAGAGCAAUAGUUUUUUGAAAAUUGAAUAGAAGGUAGAUUUUUUUGUAUUUUUUAUAUUGGCAUUGUAUGCGAUAUGGGAGGUACCGACGUUGUAUAACCGCACGUUGAAGAUUUAUCUCAGGAAAUUGGUCUAUUGAAAGAGCAUAAUUUAUUUAUGUUUUUUUAAUUAAGAAACGUU
rnacentral:tRNA from 1 species